GUAGGUGAACCUGCGGAAGGAUCAUUACCGAGUGAGGGCCCUCUGGGUCCAACCUCCCACCCGUGUUUAUUUACCUUGUUGCUUCGGCGGGCCCGCCUUAACUGGCCGCCGGGGGGCUCACGCCCCCGGGCCCGCGCCCGCCGAAGACCCCCACGAACUCUUUCUACCUUGCAGUCUGAGCGAUAAGCAUAAAUUAUUAAAACUUUCAACAACGGAUCUCUUGGUUCCG
rnacentral:misc_RNA from 1 species